rnacentral:rRNA from 1 species
AGGGCACCACCAGGAGUGGAGCCUGCGGCUUAAUUUGACUCAACACGGGAAAACUCACCCGGCCCGGACACCGUAAGGAUUGACAGAUUGAGAGCUCUUUCUUGAUUCAGUGGGUGGUGGUGCAUGGCCGUUCUUAGUUGGUGGAGCGAUUUGUCUGGUUAAUUCCGAUAACGAACGAGACUCUAGCCUAUUAAAUAGGCUCUCGGCUUUUAAACGCCGGGAGGACUUCUUAGAGGGACAGGUGGCGGUUCAGCCGCACGAAAGAGAGCAAUAACAGGUCUGUGAUGCCCUUUGUUGUCCGGGGCCGCACGCGCGCUACACUGAAGAGAUCAGCGUGCUUUACGUUCCUGCUCCGACCGGAGUGGGGAACCCAGUGAACCUUCUUCGUGAUUGGGAUAGAAGAUUGUAAUUAUUCUUCUUGAACGAGGAAUUCCCAGUAAAUGCGAGUCAUAAGCUCGCGUUGAUUACGUCCCUGCCCUUUGUACACACCGCCCGUCGCUACUACCGAUUGAACGAUUU